rnacentral:lncRNA from 1 species
GGGGUUUAAAUUCCGGUAUUCUUCGACCAAUCAGAUUGAAGUUAUGGCGUCCAUAGAAGCAUCAGGCAACACUGAUAAACACUGUUUAUGGCUUGAUUUAUGCUGAGAUAAAGAUUAAAAUUAUCAACGAAGUUCUUUAACUUUUAAAGUAAUGGAGAGAAAAGGUUUCUCGUGUGAAGUUAAGCUGGAUAUGCACUUGGUCAGUGCUGAUUUUAGUGUUUCUUUUUUUACUAUACGAUCUAAGUUAAUAUAAAUAAAGUAGAAUUAAUAGUAGAUGAACAGCUCGUGCAGUUUGUUUGUAUAAUUGUAUAUAGAUAUAUAUUUUGUACUGUUGUCCUAGGUUUCAUGUCCUGGCACAAGACAUCUCUCCAAUAGAAGCAUGCUGUUUCUUAGGAUUGCACUUCUUGGUUCUUCCAAGAGAACAAAGUCUGUGUAUGCCUCCUUUCCUUUGAUAUUCAAUGAGAGGCUAUAUUUUGAAAGG